AGUAAUAUAUCGGAACGUGCCCAGUAAUGGGGGAUAGCCCGGCGAAAGCCGGAUUAAUACCGCAUACGACCUACGGGUGAAAGCGGGGGAUCGCAAGACCUCGCGUUAUUGGAGCGGCCGAUAUCAGAUUAGCUUGUUGGUGGGGUAAAAGCCUACCAAGGCAUCGAUCAGUAGCUGGUCUGAGAGGACGACCAGCCACACUGGGACUGAGACACGGCCCAG
rnacentral:rRNA from 1 species